UUAGAACUUCAUUCAUGAUUUCCCAAAAUAUUUUACACAUUCGUAGCUUUAGAAGUGGAACAAGUGUUUCAAGUUGAUUUAUGCAAUCCAAGAUACAAACCCACACUAUGUCUACGGAGCCUCUAAUGGAUACAAAAGAGUAAUAUGAUGGUGUCGUUAACAAAGCUCCGGCUAUAUCUCAAAACCCUGUACAUAAGGAGCAAAAGGUUCAAGAUCCCGAUAUGAAAUCGGGCUCACCAAGUCAGCUGAGAAGAGGGUGUACCGCUAUCGCUGAUGGAUGCCGCAUGUUGUGGAACCACCUACAUCCAUUAAAGAUGCAGCGCCCCCGGCAAAAAAGGACGUUAGUACAUAUGGAAGAGUACUACUAUGUAAGACUAAAUACCCUUUCAAUGAAUCAAGAAACAAUACCAGGAGAAAGAAACAUUCAAUCAAAGAGGGCCUCAAAUAAUAUUAAAGCAUCAAGUUAAGAGAAAUAUAAUUUUCCAAGUAAAUAUCAUUAUUUUUAAGUCGGGAGAUCUUUAGCACCGAUAUGGCACAGUAUUUUUUUUUGCAUGUAGUCCGAUCACGGCUCGAUCGGCUAAGCCGUCUCACCCAAAGACAUCCAAUCACAAUAUCAUUGUGCUAUUUAGCACAGAGUUCGAUCUCAGCCCGAUCGGUUAAGCCGUCUCACCACAAGACAUCCAACUACAAUACCACAAUGUACGCAGCAUGGCAUCCGAUCUCGACCCGAUCGGCUAGGUUGUCUCCCCAUAUGUGUCGUGUGAGUCGACAUCCAAUCCAAGGUUAGCAACAAUCUCAUCCCAAUCAAGGGAAAUAAUUUCAUCACAUUAAUAUGGGUAUUUACCUCUCAAUCACACCUACACCGGCACGUGUAGUUUCAGGGUUAGGUUGUUUCAACCUACCCUUCCUCGGCGACUAAUGAUACUCCCAAAUCAUUUAUUAUAUAAAGAACUUACAGCUAAUUUCAUAAUCUCUCCCACAUUCUUUUCAUUUUAUUUGCACUAUUAGCCACAAGUGUAAUUUCUAUUUUUGGCACGAUGGCCAUAUUUUAUAUCUCAUAGAUUAUCAAUAAUAAGGGCAUUUGUAAUCAAUACUUUAAACAUGUAUAUGAGCAAUAGAAGUCUUAAACACACUGAGUUUUCCUUCCAAGAAUAAGGCAUAAUAAAUCUUGCAUUUGAAACAUGGAUUGAAGUCAUAGCAUUACGAUGCAUAAACCAUACUUGAAUACAUUUCUGAAGGAGAGCAUAAUACGAUAGGAGUAAUUGAAACACAUUUUGAGCACAUAUUUCUCGACACAAUGCUUAUCUGGAAUAACUGAGUGUCUUAGGAAUAACUCGAAAUAAGAGGAGUAGGGACUUGGACAAGUCACGCUUGAAACUUACAAGAACAUCAUGGAAUUCGAUUCUAUGAGAGAAGUUUAGUCAACAUACCUUGCUUGAUCUUUCCUUAAUUUACUACGAGGUUCCAGAAAUCCUAGAGACUUCAAUAUAUUAGAUAUAUGACAAAGCUGAACCAUAAUCAGGAAGUGGUUUUAAGAGUUCAACCCUUUUAGACAUUUUAUUAAACACUAGGUGUGCAAUAUGAUUUCAAGGUUCUUUUAUGGUGGACUUCCUUCAUCCCACAAUCCAAUGUUCACCCAUUUGAGUUCAACAACCUCCCCACAACCUUUGCUGGUAUAUGCAAGCAAAAGGGACAACUCCCACACCCAAGAAUCACACUUCUCAUUACCUACUUUCAGUCCUAAUCCCGAAAUUGAGGGCUAGGGAGUAGAAUCUUACCUCUUAGAUGAAGACGUUGUGAGUUUUCCUUAUUGAAUUUCAAGGCUUGAGCAAGGAUUUGAUGUAUGGAGAUGUUAGUGCCCUUCCUUCUCUCUCUAGCUCCCUUUCCCUCUCUCUAAACGCCAUAUUUUUGCCAUCUAAACGAGCCCCAAUAGCAUUUAAUCAAAAUGGGUCGGUUUAUAAAAAUAAAAAAUGGACCUCCGAACUCAACUCUGCGGUCAUAGAAUGCACCGCAGAUCAGGUCUGCGGCCCACAAAAUGGACCGGAGAAAGGGUCCCAAAAACUAGGCUGGCCUGCACAAGUCUGCGGGCUUUCUGCAGCCCAUAAAACAGUUAUGUGGUCGCAUAAUGUAUCGCAGAAUUUUUCUUCCAAAAUUUCUCAUGCUAGAUAUGUGAUAAAUGUGCAACCCGCGAAAUGAUUCUGCGGCCGCAUAACUGACCGCAAAAUAUCCUUCAAAAUUUGGCUCUGGUUCUGUUGCAUUAUGCGGCCGAUCUGCGGUCUGCGAAGUGAUUCUGCGAUCGCAUAAUGGACCGCAUAAAUGACAUGUUCAGCAAAACUUCUUCUUCCAACUUCCCAAUGCAUUGCAUCACCCAAAAAGUCCAUACAUUAGCCUCAAACACAUUAGCCUACCUCGGCAACACAAAACCUCGAGUUAUGGGUAAACCUUUAUGGCUCUUACUGUUUGUUAGGUAGAAAUAUUGUAUGCCCUAUUUAUAGUUGCAUUCAAGCCACUUAGGGUUUCGAUUGAGUUUGAACAGAUAGUGGAGAGUGAUAAUAAAAUGGAUGACGAUAGUAAGAAAGUGAAAUCAGAGGGAAAAGAGGGGAAAACAGUAUAAGUUUUACCUGAGUACUAGGAGGUUGAUCGUUGAAGCUUUUGGUCUAUUGUUCAAGCCCUAAUGUCCAGAGGUCAUUGCGUUUGACCUCUAGACAACGAAUAAUGAUGAUGAAGGGGGAUAAUAACAAUGCAUGCUCCGAUUCGAAGAAACAAAGGAAGGACAGAUGAAAUUCCAGGUUUCACCUCUAUGUCUAAGUCUUCUGGGUUAGAGAUUCAAAUUAGGGUAAUGAAAGGGAAAGUUUAUGUAGGAUUUGUGGUUAAGCAGGGACAGAAAGGAUGAUUAGGGUUCAGGGGUGGUCUCUGAAUUAAAAGUGGGAGAUGGAAUCUGGGUCGUUGGGUCGUUUGAGCAAUGACCCUGAUAAUUCAAGGCAUAAGAAUUUAAUGAAAUAUUUUUAUUAUAAAAAGAGACGGUCGUUGGAUCCCUAUAAUCAACGACCGAGAUGAGGUCUCAGCAAAAUUAAGGAAAAGAGAAAAAUAGAGAUUAACCACGGACCGUUGAUGAGUUCAAUCAACGGUCCGAAUCUAUUUGUGUUUUCUCUGUGAGCGAGGAAGACGGGUGAUGUGGCAUGCUUUGAUUGGCUUAGAGAGAUUGGCAUGAAUAUUCAUCUUGGAUAGAGGGGGUUGGUUCCGGACUGAUACUGGUCUUGUAUUUUAGGCUAAAUUAGCUGAAAUAAAAUGUAAUUCAUAGCCACAUUGAAUUUAGUUAAUUAAUUACAAUUAUAGCCUUUUUAGUUUUUAACCCCUUUAAAGAUUAAGUUAAUUAGACUUAAUUAAUUCUAAUUGAAUAUAAUAAAAUAUAAUCAUCAAAUAUAUUAUAAAUUAUUGUGAGUAAUUAUUUAAACACCUCAUUUAUCAAAUUAUGACACUAAUUUUUUUAUUAAUUUGAGUAAUAAAGCGAUAUGAUUAUAAAGGGAGGAUAAAAUAAUUGCGAGUAUCAUCAUUGCAAGUAUCAUCCUUUUCCCCGAUUGCCCUGGGUUGUCGGGUAUUGCUAGAGCAUUUUUGGUCGGGUCUUCGAUUGCAGACAUCUUUCCCUUGGAUCUCAGAUUGUACGGUGGCUUAGCCAGUUUUACGUAUCAACACAAACAAACCUCUGAUUUUAGGAAUAAAAUUAAAUAAUAAAGCGAGAAAAUAAGGAAAAGUAGAAGUUAGUUUCAGAGAUUGCACAAAUAUAAGCACAUAGAGCAAUUAAUUCAAGUAUUUAGAUAAGCGUGUCUCCUAAGAUACGACAAACCUCUCUUUGCCAGAGGUAAACCAAUGUCGCGAAUGUUUGAUGAACAAUCAGAUUCUGACACAUUUUGAUCCGGAGCAACCUUUAGUUUUUAUUGAUAGGCUUUGGAUUACAGUAAGACGGGAGUCGUGGUUACAACAUUAUUUUCAAAGUUAACAAAGAUUACAUGGGUUCAUAGGUUUGCCCUUAGGGAAAUGAAAAAAAGGGUACAAGAUAAAGGGAAAUAACCCAGCAACUUAAUAAUUGUCCCCGGAGUCACUUCCCAAGAUUUCUUCUUCAGAUUCCUCUUCAGGGUCUUCUUCAACUUCCUCUUCCUCCUCGUCAUUGUUGUACUCUGGUUCCUCCUCAGGAUCCACCUCUGGCUCUAUUUUUUUACUCAAUCCAUAUGUAUUCAAUUACUUGCUUAAUCCUCCAGUCUGGUCAAUACCUCUCUGCUAGGUCUGGCCAACUAAUCCUUCUCUUGAUACACACGAAAUACUCAGGUGUGCACCAGAGAUUUUGCCCUAUUGGAAUCAUGAUCAUGUCGUUCCAUUCAUAAUGGAGCCUCCUCACCCUCGGGAUUGGAAUUUGUCGGUUGUAAUCAUCUUCAUAAAAAGUUUUCCUUAACCAGCGGGGCACGUAUUGAAUUAGAAAAAAUUGCCUUAGAAUCCUCAGAGGUAAGUACAGCUAAAUUUCUUCAAGUCCCACUAACUCGAUGAAGUACUUUCUCUGGCUUCUCAAGAUUGCCCUGCCACUUAACCAUGAAUAUUUCCAAUUCACGAACUAUCCGCUCAGACGGGUCAGUAUCUCUUGCCACUCCUCUUGCCCAUGCGGUGUAACCAGUGUCUCAUCCUUUUGUUAUGGCUCUUGAUCAUGUUACUGGGGCCAACAAAAUAUUCGACGGUUGUCUCCAUCUAAAAGAAAUAUUUUGUGGCCCACAUCUGGAGUAGUAAGUUACAGCCUUUGAAAAAAUAAUAUCCUCUAGAGCAUGCUGACAGUGCUCGAAAUGUCUCUGCCAAUAUCAUAUGAAUGAGGGUUACUUGCAGAUUCCCUCGAAAGUUUGCCAAGACUAGGGGCAGCAAGUUCACGUUGAUUCGCCCUUUUCUUUGCGGGAAAACUAGCAAUCCCAAUAUUGCUAGAGAAAAGGUUAGAGGGUGGAGGCUCUCCCAUGCUGCUUGAUCACAUUGGAAUUUUUUAAGAUGCCACUCAUAGCUCUCUCGGUGUCCGAACCUGUCGAAUAGUUGGUCCAUACUCACCCAUCGAUCUUUGAUGUUUCUUAGAUUCUUAUUGUUUGUCAGACCCAAUGCAUGGAGGAACCUGUGAUCAGGCAUGGCAACUGGCAGUAUUGGUUUUUGUCCGGCAAAUGAUAACUCCGUGAAGCUAGUGAUCUCCUCCAGUGUUGGUACCAACUCCUAAUCGACAAACUUGAAAACAACCAUAGAUGGGUCCGAAAAAUGUAUUAGCAGUCUAGUAAGGACUUUGUCAGCUCGGAUGUUCAUCAAGGUGGUUAGUUUUCCCAGGUGUGUUCUAAUCUCGUCCAUGUGCUCCCAUCGAAUGUUUCUCUACUACUGCUUCAGCUUGUGUGGUGCACCCAUGACCAUGUUAAUCUCCGGGACAUUGCGGUUGAUUUCUAUCUAAAGAGGUGAAAACUUUUGGUAAGUGUUUGCUUCGGAUCUUUAGCGUCUUAUCUGAAUUGGUUCAUCGUUUUACAAAAGACAUGUCGUUGGGUACAUGAAUCGUUGACAUUACUGUAGCUUUCAUAAUCGUGAGUCAAUACUAAGGAUCAACUUAUCUAAAGUUUAUGCAGCAUGACCUACGUUUGCUAGAGUAGAGUGUUUCCUAAUUUUAAUGUUGGACUGAAUAACUGCGAGAUAUUAUGUCAGUUGACUUGACAAAUCCGUUCUCUGAAAGUAGAAAAUUUUAAAAGAAAGUUGGGAGGGGUGUAAAAGGCAACCCUCGCGUGUCAUUUGUGUGUGAUUGUGUAUGGCCAAGACUCAAUAGGAAAAAUAUAAUGAUAGUGUAUAAAGCAGUAACAAAUAAUGGUGAUAGCAACAAUAGGCAAGUAAGUACAUGUUUGACAGGUCAUAGAAAUACAAACAAGUAAGACAAGUAAACACAUAUUUUUCAAAAUUAAGCACAGUAAAAGAAUAAUAUAAACAAACAUCCCCAAAUUUCGGGUCUAGCCUAAAUCUGCUAAGGUUAUAACCUAAGUGUAAAGAUCCCCAUCAGCGUCGUCAUGUUAUUGCACCUUAUUUUGCACACGUCUAAACAAAGUAUAACUAGUGGUUCUUCUGAUAUUGAUAAAAGAGAGUUCCCACCUAAUAUUUAAGAUAUAUUAGGAUACUUAUAUUUUUGUAAGAUUAUUAUCCUAAUGGUCUGCUAACCGGUGAGAUUUGGGUUCGGGUUCUAGUUAUUCUAAAGGGAAGGUGUUAGGCAUCCCUUUAAAUCUACCUGAGGUCGCUCCUUAAACUUUGGCUAGGUUCGAGGAAAGAAAUACCUUUAUUCUAGUUAAUUAAUGGCUAAAGUUACAAAGUAAGAUUUAUAAAAACAUCUAAGUCUUCUUUGAAAACGCAUUGUAUUGAAAAAGGUUAUGUAUUUCUUUUGAAAAGAAUGACAUUCGUUCGUGAGACUUAAUGAAUAAGAGAUUACUAAAAUAUGCUUUAAUUGAAAACAAUUAUACCUCAUCUUGUUGAAAUGCCAUAUGUUUCAAGCUUAUUUGUAAGAAUGGUUGUGCGUGGUUGCUUUUAUUAUUUUUUAGAGCAAUGGUUGUGUUUUACGUGACCCGUAUGAUGAUAUUCCAAAACAUAAUUGGUUAUCGUUUUGAACCUGCAAUAACUGAAAUUGUUAGUGGAAAAACAUAAGUAAACGAUUUAUUCAUUGAAAGAUUAGUUUAAAUUAUUAAAGCUCAAAUGUAUUAGAGUAAUGAAAAAAAAGGCAAGUCUAUAAUCCUAUGUCGUCUUUUUUACCUGUAAGACUUGGUUGGCCUACGUCUCCUAAACAAUCAAAACAUCAAACAAUAUUCAAUAGCAAUGUUAGCUUCAAAAUAUAUACAAAGAAUAACUGAAAAAGAUAAUAUUUACCAUUUAAAAAUGUGAGAGGGAGGAAAGGGCUGGACUCUUAAUAUUGUGCAAAUGGAUAGUCAGGCCCUGAAGAUUUUCACACGAGUAGCAGACUCCAGGAAAAGCAACCAAGGCUGGAGCUUGGGCUUAAGUUUAAAGAACUCAGAAGUCCUAGUUCAAAUAUGCACACGAAUGAAAUAAGAAGAUAAUUUUUGGAAAUCAAUAUAAUGCAUAACAAUAAUAAAUCACGAGUGAUAAUAAAGCUACAGAAUAUAUUAAAUCCAAUCUCAUUUGUGUUAAUCCUAUGAGGAUUAAAAAGAGUCAAUGAACAAAGGCUUAGAUUAAAACCUUAUUCAUGGAUAAAAUCCCCCUUUGGACCCUUGGUACUUUAGAGUUCAUAACGGUCUCAUAGACCCCGAGUAGUGCUUGUGUCAGGGAAGGGUAUCUUAACCACAUACCAGGUUUCACACCCAAAUACCCUUAACCGCCCACGCUUACUCUUUCUCAAAUGUUUAGACAUAAAUGAGGUGUCAACUUAGUAGUUAACAUGGAAGCAUCAGUGGACACAAAGAUUCAGGAACACAGAACAUCAACAAAAACUAUAGAGAAUAUCAUCACUAGAUUGCAAGCAUUUGCAAAGUUCAGAACUAAUCACAAUAUUGACUUUAGGAUCUUUUAUCAGAACCCUAAAUAAAAAGGCAAGUUACUGCAAGUAGACUUAUAUGGUCCAGUAAUAUCAAUGACCUUAAGGUUGAUUAUAGCAUGCAUCAAGACACUUAGGAAGGUUAUCACUCAUAUAUAAAAAUAAAGAGAGUUAGUGGUAAAUGAAUUGGUAAUUGAUAGGGAAAGACAUAUGUAUUAGUUUUAUUAGUUCUACUGAGGGUUCAACAUUUUAGGAUCCUUAACUAGGUUUAUAGCACUUCAACUAAAAUUUCAGUAAUCUCUAGAACAGUGUAAGGUAAGCAUAUACAUGGACGAGACCUUACUUCACCAAACACCUGUACUGACAGCCUUGUUCAGGCUUCCCAAAGAUAACAACAACCAGCAGAGAUAAUAAUGUAAGUGGGAAGGUCAUUUUUAGUCUAGUUCAAACCUACUAGCAUGAUAUCUAGUCGUAGUUUGUCAUGUUUCCAAACAAUUUCAGAUUCUUGAGUAAAUUCUUAUAGACAAGGAUAUCAAUCAAAUAUGAGACAGUGGAUGGGGAUAUUCAUUCUCAGUGGGUGAGAGAAGACAAACAUGUCUUGGUGAAUUUACUUAAACAUGUGAGUGACCAGGUUACACUAGUAAACAUCCCAUUUUAGAUCCUAUGUUCAACAUUGUUCACUCAAGUUGCUAAAUUAUUAAGGCAGACAUGAUUCAAACUAUCAAGAGAAGAUUUCAGCAAAGGACAUAGUAAAUUCAGCAUGAAACUUUCUCAACUAAAGAGCAGGUAAAGGUUCAUGGGCAUUACUAGACUAGCAGAAGUAUGAUGAACAUAAGCACGUGCAUGUAGGUAAAUAAGAUUCAGUCAGCCAACAUACAAUAUGGUUUCUAUAGAGUUUCAUGGUCAUAAAAUAAUCACAGAUCAAGUGAGCAGAUGAUGUGAUGACUGCAUUGAUAUGUUAAUCAUAUGAGUUCAAACUAUAAUAAUAGACUUGCAUGAACUCUUAAGUGCACAUAACAAACAUAGUUUCAACAAGAAAAAUAUUCAAUUAAGGUCAUCAAAGCAAAAUAAUUAAAUGAAUGUCAUGAACUGUGAUGAUAAUCAUUUUUAUUGAAUCAAAAUCCGGUGGCAUAAUAUUACAAAUGUAAGGAUCAAUAUUGCUCAGUGCAGCAAACAGGACAUUAGGAGAGGGUUAAGAGCAUAGCUCAAUUAGGUUAGCGAAACAUGAUAGUAUAGCUAUCAUUUAACUGAUAGAGGUAGAGCAUACAUAGGAUUAACAUAAGGCUUAGUUCAACCAAUCAUAAAAGGUUCAACAUGAUUUGCUCAGAAGAGUAUCAACAUCAUUAAAACAUUUUAUUUGGCUAAGUUUUGGGAGAUAGAAUAUCAUUAACAACAUGGUUUAGAUAGCAGUAUCCGAACAUCAUAAUUUAUCAGGAAAUUACCAACUCGACUAUGAAAAUGGCAUACAACAAAAAUAAUAUAACAAGUAUAGUCAUGUACAACUGAUGUAUAUCGUAAAAAAAAGGUGAUUAACAGGAAAACAUCAUAAAAUUUUACAAUUAAAAGAUAGAGACAAUGUCAUUAUACACUGACCUUCUACAGAGCAGCAAACCAAGAAAGAGUUGAUUCUUAGCAAUUUAGAGUCCAAACCAAAUACGAAUUAUGUACAGAAAUGGAACUCGAGCAAAAAUGAAAAGAUGAAAAGAUAAAUUAGUGAGAAGCUACUGGAACUUAAUAAUUAGAAGAAAAACUUAAACUUUUUAAUUCUUUCAAUGUGUUUGCUGGUGAUGUUAAGUGUAUUGGUGUCUUGAAUACCCUAUUUAUAGUGGCAUCCAAGCAACUUAGGGUUUCAAUUGAGUUCGAACGGAUAGUGAAGAGUGACGAUAGGAUGGAUGACGAUACUAAGCAAGUGAAAUCAGAGGGUAAAGGGGGGAAAAUAGUAUAAGUUUUACCUGAGCACGAGGAGGUCGACAAUUAAAGCUUUUGGUCCAUCAGUCAUGCCUUAAUGUCUAGAGGUCGCUGCGUUUGACCUCUGGACAAUGAAUAAUGAAGCUGAAGCUGAAGAUAAUAACCAGGCAUGCUCUAAUUCGACGAAACAAAGGAAGGAUAUAUGAAUUCCCAGGCUUCACCUUUAGGUCUAGGGCUUCUGGGUUAGAGAUUCAAAUUAGGGUAACGAAAGGGGAAAGUUCAGGUGGGAUUCACGGUUCAGUAGGGACAAAAAUGAUGAUUUGAGGUCGGAUUUGUGAUCUUGCACAAAUUUGUGCCAGUUUUUAGGACUGAUAGGGGUGAUGGGAAUGAGAUAAAGGAGACAAGAAAGGGAAAUUAGGGUGGCCGUUUGGUGGAAAGUGAUUAGGGUUUAGG
rnacentral:lncRNA from 1 species